rnacentral:rRNA from 1 species
AUGGAGGAUGAGAGGAGCACCCAGUCGUACCAGGGAGGUGAGGCCGCCGAGCAGGUGGAGGUGACGGACAGGGGCCUCCUCGGCAACCUCCUCGGCAAGAAGAAGGCGGAGGAGGACAAGGAGAAGAAGGAGGAGGAGCUGGUCACCGGCAUGGAGAAGGUCUCCGUGGAAGAGCCCGAGGUCAAGAAGGAGGAGCACGUGGAUGGCGAGAAGAAGGAGACCCUCUUCUCCAAGCUGCACCGAUCCAGCUCCAGCUCCAGCUCGUCUAGUGACGAGGAAGAGGAGGAGGUGAUCGACGACAACGGCGAGGUGAUCAAGAGGAAGAAGAAGAAGGGUCUCAAGGAGAAGCUCCAGGAGAAGCUGCCCGGCCACAAGGACACCGAGGGUGAGCACGUGACGGGCCUACCCGCACCGGCGGCCCCCGCGUCCGUGCAGACCCACCAUGACACCGACGUCGUCGUCGAGAAGAUCGACGGUGACGUGAAGACAGAGGCGACACCGGCAGUGCCCGAGGAGGAGAAGAAAGGCUUCUUGGAAAAGAUCAAGGAGAAGCUGCCCGGCGGCCACAAGAAGCCGGAGGACGCUGCUGCGGUGCCCGUCACGCACGCUGCUCCGGCGCCCGUCACGCACGCUGCUCCAGCACCGGUGCACGCGCCGGCGCCGGCCGCCGAGGAGGUGAGCAGCCCUGACGCGAAGGAGAAGAAGGGCCUGCUGGGCAAGAUCAUGGACAAGCUGCCUGGUUACCACAAGACAGGGGAGGAGGACAAGGCCGCCGCCGCUACAGGCGAGCACAAGCCCAGCGCUUGA